UACGUAGGGGCUAGCGUUAUCCGGAAUUACUGGGCGUAAAGGGUGCGUAGGCGGUCUUUCAAGCCAGAAGUGAAAGGCUACGGCUCAACCGUAGUAAGCUUUUGGAACUGUAAGACUUGAGUGCAGGAGAGGAGAGUGGAAUUCCUAGUGUAGCGGUGAAAUGCGUAGAUAUAUGGAGGAACACCAGUGGCGAAGGCGACUCUCUGGUCUGUUAUUGACGCUGAGGCUCGAAAGCGUGGGGAGCAAACAGGAUUAGAUACCCCCGUAGUCCCUGA
rnacentral:rRNA from 1 species